CCAGACUUCCUCAAAGCCUCACUUGCGGCUGGGGCUUCCUCCUGCUGCUCUCCUUUUCCUCUCCUCUUCCAGAGGGCAGCCCGCCGGUCUGGCAGCUCUCCUCGCCUCCCUGCUCACGUCUCUCGGCAAUGCCCCAGCCACAGUGAUUCAUGCGGAUCCAAGAGUAAGACUUCAAUCGACCUUUGCUGACUCUACUGGGAAAGAGGUGUUCACUUCCUGCUAGGUGGGCCAAGCUGGGGCUCUCUCAGCCUGAGGUUUCCGGGAGCUACCUUGCUACUUUCGGCAUGAGGACAACACACAAGGAAGCACAGUCCUCUGGCUCACUGGUUAUCUGAAGCCACAGAGAUGAUGAGGGACCAUCAUGGUUUCCUCUCCAACCACAGAGUGACUGAUGUGGAAGUGAUGCUUUUGUCUGGCGGAUACUGGCCGGGUCGCUGGGCCGCCCCUGCCUUGUGGGAGGCGGAGCAGCACGGAGCAGGUAACACAGCGGCAAGAGAAGAGCCCCGCUGGGGGCAGAGGGGAGAGGCGGUGCAGAUCACCCACAUUUGGCCAGGACCCUGUUGUAUUUGGAUGGGGACAAAGAUGGGCCGCUGAGAUG